CCUACGGGUGGCUGCAGUGGGGAAUUUUGGACAAUGGGGGCAACCCUGAUCCAGCCAUGCCGCGUGAGUGAAGAAGGCCUUCGGGUUGUAAAGCUCUUUCGGCCGGGAAGAAAUCGCUCAAGCUAAUACCUUGGGUGGAUGACGGUACCGGAAGAAGAAGCACCGGCUAACUACGUGCCAGCAGCCGCGGUAAUACGUAGGGGACGUGCGGUAAUCGGAGUUACUGGGCGCGGAGCCAUAGGAGACGGCGGAAAUCCCCGGGCUUAACCUGGGAACUGCGUUUGUGACUGUGGUGCUCGAGUGCGGCAGAGGGGGGUGGAAUUCCACGUGUAGCAGUGAAAUGCGUAGAGAUGUGGAGGAACACCGAUGGCGAAGGCAGCCCCCUGGGUCGACACUGACGCUCAUGCACGAAAGCGUGGGGAGCAAACAGGAUUAGAUACCCCUGUAGUC
rnacentral:rRNA from 1 species